rnacentral:rRNA from 1 species
GAUGAACGCUGGCGGCGUGCCUAAUACAUGCCAGUCGAGCGAACAGAUGAGGAGCUUGCUCCUCUGACGUUAGCGGCGGACGGGUGAGUAACACGUGGAUAACCUACCUCUAAGACUGGGAUAACUUCGGGAAACCGGAGCUAAUACCGGAUAAUAUAUUGAACCGCAUGGUUCAAUAGUGAAAGACGGUUUUGCUGUCACUUAUAGAUGGAUCCGCGCCGCAUUAGCUAGUUGGUAAGGUAACGGCUUACCAAGGCAACGAUGCGUAGCCGACCUGAGAGGGUGAUCGGCCACACUGGAACUGAGACACGGUCCAGACUCCUACGGGAGGCAGCAGUAGGGAAUCUUCCGCAAUGGGCGAAAGCCUGACGGAGCAACGCCGCGUGAGUGAUGAAGGUCUUCGGAUCGUAAAACUCUUUUAUUAGGGAAGAACAAAUGUGUAAGUAACUAUGCACGUCUUGACGGUACCUAAUCAGAAAGCCACGGCUAACUACGUG